CGUGUAGGCGGCUUGGCAAGUCGGGUGUGAAAGCCCGGGGCUCAACCCCGGAACUGCAUUCGAAACUGCCUGGCUAGAGUUCCGGAGAGGAAGGCAGAAUUCCCGGUGUAGAGGUGAAAUUCGUAGAUAUCGGGAGGAAUACCAGUGGCGAAGGCGGCCUUCUGGACGGCAACUGACGCUGAGACGCGAAAGCGUGGGGAGCAAACAGGAUUAGAUACCCUGGUAGUCC
rnacentral:rRNA from 1 species